AACGAACGCUGGCGGCAGGCCUAACACAUGCAAGUCGAGCGAGACCUUCGGGUCUAGCGGCGGACGGGUGAGUAACGCGUGGGAAUAUGCCCUUUGGUACGGAAUAGCCUCGGGAAACUGAUAGUAAUACCGUAUGUGCCCUUCGGGGGAAAGAUUUAUCGCCAAAGGAUUAGCCCGCGUUGGAUUAGGUAGUUGGUGGGGUAAUGGCCUACCAAGCCUACGAUCCAUAGCUGGUUUGAGAGGAUGAUCAGCCACACUGGGACUGAGACACGGCCCAGACUCCUACGGGAGGCAGCAGUGGGGAAUCUUAGACAAUGGGGGCAACCCUGAUCCAGCCAUGCCGCGUGAGUGAUGAAGGCCCUAGGGUUGUAAAGCUCUUUCAGCUGGGAAGAUAAUGACUGUACCCACAGAAGAAGCCCCGGCUAACUCCGUGCCAGCCGCCGCGGUAA
rnacentral:rRNA from 1 species